rnacentral:rRNA from 1 species
UGGGGAAUAUUGGACAAUGGGCGCAAGCCUGAUCCAGCCAUGCCGCGUGUGUGAAGAAGGCCUUCGGGUUGUAAAGCACUUUUGUUGGGAAAGAAAUCCUGUCGGUUAAUACCCGGCGGGGCUGACGGUACCCAAAGAAUAAGCACCGGCUAACUUCGUGCCAGCAGCCGCGGUAAUACGAAGGGUGCAAGCGUUACUCGGAAUUACUGGGCGUAAAGCGUGCGUAGGUGGUUUGUUAAGUCAGAUGUGAAAGCCCCGGGCUCAACCUGGGAAUUGCAUUUGAUACUGGCAGACUAGAGUGCGGUAGAGGAGAGUGGAAUUCCCGGUGUAGCAGUGAAAUGCGUAGAGAUCGGGAGGAACAUCAGUUGCGAAGGCGGCUCUCUGGACCAGCACUGACACUGAGGCACGAAAGCGUGGGGAGCAAACAGG